GAAGCGAAGCUCAACAGCUGAUGCCAUCUUUGAAAAAGAAUUCAAAAAAAACAGCAAAAAAUACAACGCAUUGAAAUUUAUUUCUUACACUGUCCGCGUGCUCACUUCAGAGGAAAAAGGAAGUGGGACCGAGGCAAAUGUUUACAUCGUUAUAAUUGGUACUGAGGCGUGUACAGAAAAGAUUGACCUCGAACUUGUUCAAAAGACAGGAUUUGAACCUGGUACUGCUGAAACUUUCUCAAUAGAAGGCGUCGACGUUGGUGAUAUUAGAAAAAUUGAAAUUGGUCAUAAUGGGUUUUUGGCCAAAGAUGCUUGGUAUCUCAAAGAAGUGGAUAUUGAUGUUC